rnacentral:lncRNA from 1 species
CGACCUGCCUCGCUCACUCAGGAAACCUUGCAGAAGACAAGAGAGUUGGAAAUUUGUCAUUACUGAGGUAGCCCUGAAUCUACAGUACUUUGUCAAAGUAAUACUUUUUAAAAAAAAAAAUGUUCACAACUUGGAGUACCUCAUUAAUAACGAUCAAUUCCUUGGGUCAUAUCUCUCCACUGACCACAACACACUUGGGUAACCAUGGGCGUAAGACCCUUGAGAACUGUAUGAAGUGACACCCACCACCAGACCAAAGUCCCCCAGUUGAUUCUACAUGCCAGCCAACACUGAAGAUUUUAUGUAUAAAAACAAACGGUGGGGAGUUCCCGUCAUGGCGCAGUGGUUAACGAAUCCGACUAGGAACCAUGAUGUUGCGGGUUCGGUCCCUGCCCUUGCUCAGUGGGUUAACGAUCCGGCGUUGCUGUGAGCUGUGGUGUAGGUUGCAGACGCGGCUCGGAUCCUGCGUUGCUGUGGCUCUGGCGUAGGCCGGUGGCUACAGCUCCGAUUCAACCCCUAGCCUGGGAAUCUCCAUAUGCCGUGGGAGCGGCCCAAGAAAUAGCAACAACAACAACAACAACAACACACACACAAAAAAAAAAACGAAUGGUGGGAGUUCAUGGCUCAGUGGUAAUGAAUCCAACUAGUAUCAGUGAGGAUGUGGGUUCAAUCCCUGAUCUCACUCAGGGGGUUGAGGAUCUGGCAAUGCCCUGAGCUGUGGUGUAGGUCACAGAUGCAGCUCGGACUGGAGUUACUGUGGCUCUGGUGGAAGCCAGCAGCUGUAGCUCUGAUUCGACCCCUAGCCUGGGAAUUUCCAUGUGCUGCAGGUGUAGCCCUAAAAAGACAAAAAAAAAAAGCUAACAGUCAUCAAUUUCUAUUUAACCAGAAGUUUGGGCAUCAAAUAAAAAUCAGCCUGAUGAUAUUUUACUGCUCCUGCUCCUUUGAAAUUCUUGCAAAGUACUCAAAGCUUAGAUCUAUGUGGUAAUAACUUAAAACAAUGGUGUAUCUUUUAAAUAAGUAAACUUUUUUUUUUUGGCCACACCUGCAGUAGGUGGAAGUUCCUGCACCAGCAAUCAAACCUGCACCACAGCAGCAAAAACAGCAGAUCCUUAACCCACUAUAGCUGGGAUUUGAACCCAAGCAAAUCUGACCCAGAGCUCGUAAGCUUAACCUUUACACGACACAAGAAACUUGAAAAAUCCUACAGUCUAGAAGGAGACUGAAGCAGUGGUUUACACAAGAGCUGGUUCUCAAAUUGUUAUGUGAGCUUCUCAUCUCUGCUCUAUGUUGUCAGUGAGCAAUGAAAGAAAAGAAAAAGAAAUAAAGAACAAAGGUGAGGAACUAGAGCGAAGGGUAUGGCUAAGCUACUUUCCCUGCAAAAGGCCACAAAGCAUCAAGAACUCAGAUUAAUUCAUCCAAAGGUUAAAAGAGGGAUUUUUCCUUUUGAGACGAUAAAGAUGAAAUAUGUUGACUUGUCUGGAGGCUAAAGAAUAAUUAGAAAGAUUCCUCAGCAGAUAACUGAUGAAUCCAGGGGGUGCUGGCUGCCUGGUGGACUCAAUGCAGGACUGGGGAACCUCUUGGUGGGCCAGCCUUGAGCAGGACACAGAGACCUGAGGCUCACCCACUGGGACAGUCAUCAGCCUUGGAUAACCAUAGCAAUAACACUGCUGACAAAAAUCCAGGGAGUUCUUUAGAAUUACAAACCCUCCUAGCCAUCACAGAACUGGAUUACAACCAACCUGUGAAGUACAAAUUAUCCUCUGGUUUACAGAUGAAGAAAGUGAGAUGCAGAGAGGCUAAGUGCUGUACUCGCACAGGUGAGACUCAACUUUCUGACGUCAAAGUACCUCCCUCUUAUCACAUCCCUUGGUGUAGAUGUUACUCAAUCGCUAGAUGGGCAGUAGAAACUCAGUGUGGGUGGGCAGCCUGCGACUGGGGCUCACACCCCAGCUCAAAUAUUUCCUGGCCGCUGGAUGACCCUUGGGGCAAGUUUCUUAAGUGCCUGUUUUCCAGGCUGAAAUUGAAUGAGUUAAUGUAUAUCAAGAGUAAAUCCAUGUGGCUGUAAUAGUAAGUAUUCAUCAGGUAUUAGUUUUUUAUUAGUUAUUAUUCACUUAUUUAACAAACUUUGCUCAGAUAGGUAUUCUGCUACAGGUCUGUGGGCUUAGUCCAGACAAUACGACAAUCCUGCCCAAAGGUGACUCACAGUCCUUGGAUGACCAACACAAAGAGAGGUAUAUAAAGCAAGGAGGAGGAAAACAACACUGACACAUUAUGGAAUAAAACAGGCACAUACAGGGACAUUUAUCCAGAGCAGCCUGUGAAGCAAAAUCUUUAAAUUCCAAGAACGAUGCCACAAACUGAUAUAUGGUUUCAAAUUAAAAAUCAGCAUAUGGAUACUUCAUAAAAACAAAAUAUUUAGAAUUGAGGACCCUUAGUUCAAAUCUCAAUUCCAUAACCUACCAACUUUGUGAUUUUCAUCAUCUUACUUUUCAGGGCAUCUAUCUACUCACCUCUAAAAGUGAGAUUAAAUAAUCAUACACCUCACAUGCUUGUUAAGCAGAUGAAAUGAUGUAGGUGAAAGUGCUCUGGAAAUUUUCAAACGUCAUUGUAAGUAUUACUAAUCACAGUGGAGGGGGAGGAUCAAGAGUAGAGGAAAAGAGGGCAAACAACACCCAAGCAUUUGCUGAGGUGCCUGAGCAGCCACAACAAGCAGGGGUUCUGUCCUGCUCCUGUAGUCCACAUGUGUGCAAGGGUGGUGAAUCUCCUUGAAAAGCACAGACAGGGAUGGAGCCCCAAUUUUAAAUACACACAGCUAGUUUCCUCCGGCAGUCAGCUUCUGUCUUAUUCUCAGGCCCUGUGGACAAUUCUGUGAUUUGGGCAUCUUCCCUUGGGGAAACCACGCUGCCCGCCUCUGCUGGUUUGCACCUGGAAGCCACCACCUGUCUCCACCCUGGGGGCUUUGUGUCCCCUGGAGCUCACUCUCUAGUUGCAGAGAAGGCCACUACCAGACACAGGACAUGGGUGGAGAGUCCAUCCCAAACCAUCUGCAGAAAUGUUUUUCUUCACCAUGACCCCCCUGGAGGCCUGCCAAGCAACACUGAUUUGGGCCCCAAGAGGAGAGCUCUGAGUGUGCCAAGUGGACAAAGACAGUGAAGGUAUGUGCAGUGGGCAGUGCCUGGGGAGCGACGUGGCAUCAUAAAAGAGCCUGGGGACUGAGAGAAUGAUGAGCAGAGCAUGGAGUACAGAGGAGAUGAAGGGGUGGCAAGUGAAGGCCAUGCCUGUCAGGCUUGGGAACUUUAUACCCAUAAGGGAAUAAAGCAGAGGAGGGACAUAAUCUUUCUGAAGAGGUCACCCUGGCCACAGAGUCACAGAGAACAGACUAGAAGUUGGAGCACCUAGUGGCAGAGAGGCCAGGUACCUAAAAGGGAUGGCACAGAUGAGGCCAUGAGGGCGUGGACUCCAUUCCAGUGAGUACCCAUCAUGGCUCAGUGGUUAACGAACCCAACCAGCAUCCAUGAGGAUGCGGAUUCAAUCCCUGGCCUCACUCAGUGGGUUAAGGAUUUGGUGUUGCUGUGAGCUGUGCUGUAGGUUGCAGACUCGACUCAGAUCCCACAUUGCUGUGGCUGUGGUGUAGGCUAGCAGCUACAGCUCCAACUGGACCCGUAGCCUGGGAACCUCUAUAUGCUGCUGGUGUGGCCCUAAAAGACAAAAAGACAAAAUAAAUAAAUUAAUUAAAUUAAAUUGAAAAAGGCAAAAUCAGGGAGUUCCCACCGUGGCUCAGAACUAACAAACCUGACUAGUAUCCAUGAGGAUGCAGGUUCAAUCCCUGGCUUCCUUCAGUGGGUUAAGGAGCCAGUGUUGCUGUGAACUGUAGUGUGUGUCGCAGAUGCGGCUGGAAUCUGGGGUUGCUGUGGCUGUGGUAUAUAUAGGCCAGUGGCUACAGCUCCAAUUGGACCCCUAGCCUGGGAACUUCCAUAUGCUGCACCUGUGGCACUAAAGAGACAUUAAGAAAAAAAAAAAAGGUGGAGUUCCCGUCGUGGCGCAGUGGUUAACGAAUCCGACUAGGAACCAUGAGGUUGCGGGUUCGGUCCCUGCCCUUGCUCAGUGGGUUAACGAUCCGGCGUUGCCGUGAGCUGUAGUGUAGGUUGCAGACGCGGCUCGGAUCCUGCGUUGCUGUGGCUCUGGCGUAGGCCGGUGGCUACAGCUCCGAUUGGACCCCUAGCCUGGGAACCUCCAUAUGCCGCGGGAGCGGCCCAAGAAAUAGCAACAA